rnacentral:rRNA from 1 species
GACACCUUAAUCCAACAUCGAGGUCGCAAACCCUUCUUUCAAUGUGAACUCUCCAGAAAGAUUACGCUGUUAUCCCUGUGGUAACUUUUUCCGAUAAUCAACAAUGCUGGAUCACUUGUUAGUAAACCAAAAUUCUACAAAUUAACAGAGAAGCUUUUCAUGUUCCCUAGUCACCCCAACUAAAGAUGUAAGAAUAAAUUUAAAAUCCUCUACUCUAAUAGAAACAACCCCUUUAUUCCACACUAAAGCUCAACAGGGUCUUCUCGUCCCUCAGCUAAAUCUAAGCCUUUUCACUUAGAAGUUAAUUUUUAAAUAUUCCAGGAGAGACAGCUCAGCCCUCGUCAAACCAUUCAUACCAGCCUCCAAUUAAAAGGCAAGUGAUUGUGCUACCUUUGCACGGUCAGUGUACCGCGGCCGUUU